UACGUAGGGUGCGAGCGUUGUCCGGAAUUAUUGGGCGUAAAGGGCUCGUAGGCGGUUUGUCGCGUCGGGAGUGAAAACUCAGGGCUUAACCCUGAGCCUGCUUCCGAUACGGGCAGACUAGAGGUAGGUAGGGGAGAAUGGAAUUCCCGGUGUAGCGGUGAAAUGCGCAGAUAUCGGGAGGAACACCGGUGGCGAAGGCGGUUCUCUGGGCCUUACCUGACGCUGAGGAGCGAAAGCGUGGGGAGCGAACAGG
rnacentral:rRNA from 1 species